AAUUAUAGUACCGGUACGGUACCGGCACCUUAAUCUAGCCAUAAUUAAACAAUCGAUCAGUCAAUCCACUACUACUAUUACAGUGUUCAUGUGGAUUCAGAUUGCGUUCAGCCAACGUUGCCAGUCAAGCAAACCAAAGCUUUGUUUGCUAAUGUCAAGUGACCAGUACUAGAUAAGACUAGGCUAUAGCCUAUAACGGAUGUUGAUUUUCUCGAAAAUGAAGAUGAUCACAGUAUUGGAACUCACAAGUAGCUAAUAGCAGAGGAACUAAAUGGGAGAAAUAUAGCAGAUGAGCAGUGAACAACUGAUAGAUUGUAAGUCCAUUCCAAUGAUGAACUCUGGAUCAUCACUAGAUCACAGUUCGAAUGGAAGCUUCAAUUAGACAAAAGCAAUUGCAGUGCUGGACUCUUGUUACAAGAUUUUCAAUCUACAAAUACCAUUACGUAGCAGAAAAGCUUGACAUUCAUCACAGCAUGCCUGCUGCUUCUGCCCAAUGAGCAUAUAUACAAUGAGUGGAAACUUGCAAAGAUUUGCUCAUUGUGGCAUUGUCCCCUGCAUUUUUACGUCGUCCAGCUAAAUGGUUCGUUGCAUAUUAAGAAAACGCAUU